UCCUCCCUCAGGUCCGUCCCGACGCCUCCAUCGCUGUCAUCCACCCACAGACCUACACCUCCUCUGCCUCCAUCCACCCUCUGGUCUACACCUCCAGCCCCCAUCAGGUCUGCCCCGACACCCCCUUUGCCUCCAUCCAUCCUCACAUCCCAUCCUGACACAGUGAUGCGAGCGAGAGAAACUGAUUAGAAUGUGUACUUUUCAUUUGGCCUGUUUAAUUGUCUGAUUCAGGUGUCUGUGCUGACAUCUCCUUUGCCUCUAUCCAACUGGUCUACAAUGACACUUUUUUGCUUUUAUUCUUCCUUAGGUCAGCCAUGUCAUCACCCGAAUCCCUGCCAACGAGGGACAUCCUUUUACGCAUCCUCGAACUUCUUGAGGAACUUAAAGAAGACAAUCGAGCCACUAGAAGGAUGCUACAAGCGCAGCGUGGCAACGGUGGCAACACCCUUUCUUUUAUCCCAGAUGGUUUCCCCCUAAAGACAGUUAGAGAAGUCGAAGAAAUGGAGGAGAAACUGUCUGACCCAAGCUUCAUGUCUGACCUGCAGUGGCAGACAUUGGAGGGAGCACUGUGGAUGAGGCCACAAGACGGAUGAUGGUCUUCAUCAUGGACCAUGACCUGUCAAGGCUGUAUAAUUUUGUGGGCCGGAAUGGCAAGCGGGAAUUCCGGUCUUUAAAGCUGUUUGAAGUUAUAUUUGGAGCUUUAAAGAA